CUGUCCCGCCUGCCCGUCCUGUCCUCCUUGCCUGUCCCGCCUGCCUGUCCCGGACCUCCUGUCAUCCUGCCUCCUGCCUGUUCCUGCCUCCUGUCCUGCCCUGCCCCGUGUCCGGUGUGAUCGUGUAGGACUGAUCUCCUUGGCUUACGACCCUUCUGCUCCGUCUCUGACUACGUCUCCAGUGCUGCCCUUUGGAUUUGGUGUUUAUCGGUGUCAUAAUAAACCAGGUGUUUCCCGCAUUCUGGGUCCCGACUCUGGUGUCCUGCCUGAUCAUGACAAUUAUAAUAAUAUAAAGCCAAUUUAAGACAUUCGUACUCCAUAAAACGACAAUGAUAAACACUGCCUGGCUCUCCAGGAACAUUACUGAUACUAUGGGGAAUAAGACAAAUAAAAGAAAAAGUAAUGGUUUUCAAAUUUCUACAAUGAGACACAUUUAACAGUGGUCCCUUGGAUAAGUAAAAAAAUAUCACAUAUCCAUUCUGUUUGCAAGACAUGGAGAAAAUAUUUAGGCAGCAGAUAAAACUGACUUCCCAAAAGGGCAGCUGACAAAAGUGUAAUGCGAUAGCUCUCCUUAAUCGUGUUUGCACUGUUUCGUUUGCUUCAGGGAGUGAACGAAAAAAAGAGGAUCCUUGGUGUAAACAAUGAAGGUUGUCUGAAAGGUUCUUUGUCGGUGCCAGUGAUCUCUGCAGGCUCUGGAGGGGUGUGAAGCAUGUGAUACUGGGUCAAACCCCAGCCAACAUUCCUGCGUAAACAGCCCUCGGUGAAAAACAGCAGCACAACCCGAUCAUCCCACCCAAGGAGAGACAGGGGUAGGGGUGCAGCAUCUGUAGCGUUCUCAUACCACGUCUGGGAGCACUUGAAACAUCUCCUAGAGUUGUUUCAAGAGUUGUUAGAGAGAUGUUGACAUGAAGGAAGUAAAAUACAGAUGCUUCUCACUUUACGAUGGUUUGACUUACAAUAUUUUGACUUCACAAUGGUGCAACAGCGAUGCACAUUUAGUAGUCAUAAAGCUUUGAAUUUCAUUUGUUCCUGGGAUAUGAAUGAAUUGGAAUGAAUGGAAAAUUAACCUGGAUUACAGCUUAGCUUACUGGUGAUUAGACGAGAACCUGAUUAACAUCCUUUCCUUGAUAAACACAUGAACAGUUACAUCUCAGUAAAGGUCCAUGAUAAAGGGACCCACUUAAUAUCACGUAUAAGGAAUAUUAUUCGAUUGGGAAUGCUCAGUAAAAUGCACUGUUCUUUUUGACUGGAAAAUUUGACCAGUAAAAUGUAAGUAAAACUACGUAUGGCUCACAAAGGUGUGUGUGAAUAAUUUUAUGGUGUACUUUAAUAAAAUCACUUCCAGGUGUGAAA